rnacentral:rRNA from 1 species
GCCUAACACAUGCAAGUCGGACGGCAGCGCGGGGGCAACCCUGGCGGCGAGUGGCGAACGGGUGAGUAAUACAUCGGAACGUGUCCUGGAGUGGGGGAUAGCCCGGCGAAAGCCGGAUUAAUACCGCAUACGCUCUAUGGAGGAAAGCGGGGGAUCUUCGGACCUCGCGCUCAAGGGGCGGCCGAUGGCAGAUUAGCUAGUUGGUGGGGUAAAGGCCCACCAAGGCGACGAUCCGUAGCUGGUCUGAGAGGACGACCAGCCACACUGGGACUGAGACACGGCCCAGACUCCUACGGGAGGCAGCAGUGGGGAAUUUUGGACAAUGGGGGCAACCCUGACCCAGCAAUGCCGCGUGUGUGAAGAAGGCCUUCGGGUUGUAAAGCACUUUUGUCCGGAAAGAAAACUUCGUCCCUAAUAUGGAUGGAGGAUGACGGUACCGGAAGAAUAAGCACCGGCUAACUACGUGCCAGCAGCCGCGGUAAUACGUAGGGUGCGAGCGUUAAUCGGAAUUACUGGGCGUAAAGCGUGCGCAGGCGGUGAUGUAAGACCGAUGUGAAAUCCCCGGGCUUAACCUGGGAACUGCAUUGGUGACUGCGUUGCUGGAGUAUGGCAGAGGGGGGUGGAAUUCCACGUGUAGCAGUGAAAUGCGUAGAGAUGUGGAGGAACACCGAUGGCGAAGGCAGCCCCCUGGGCCAAUACUGACGCUCAUGCACGAAAGCGUGGGGAGCAAACAGGAUUAGAUACCCUGGUAGUCCACGCCCUAAACGAUGUCAACUGGGUUGUCGGGCCUUCAUUGGCUUGGUAACGUAGCUAACGCGUGAAGUUGACCGCCUGGGGAGUACGGUCGCAAGAUUAAAACUCAA